rnacentral:misc_RNA from 1 species
UCUCCGUUGGUGAACCAGCGGAGGGAUCAUUACUGGAAUCGCAAGAUCCCACAACCCUGUGAACCUACCGAAACGUUGCCUCGGCGGGUGCCCGGCCUCCGCGCCGGGCGCUGCGCCCGCGGGCGGCCCCCUACUCUGUCUCUGCAGCGUGGCAUCUCAGAGUCCCAGAAAACAAGUCAAAACUUUCAACAACGGAUCUCUUGGCUCUA